CCUACGGGAGGCAGCAGUGGGGAAUAUUGCACAAUGGGGGGAACCCUGAUGCAGCGACGCCGCGUGGGUGAAGGAGUAUUUCGGUAUGUAAAGCCCUAUCAGCAGGGAAGAACAAUGACGGUACCUGACUAAGAAGCACCGGCUAAAUACGUGCCAGCAGCCGCGGUAAUACGUAUGGUGCAAGCGUUAUCCGGAUUUACUGGGUGUAAAGGGAGCGCAGGCGGCGCGUUAAGCCUGGUGUGAAGGUCCGCGGCCCAACCGCGGGACUGCAUUGGGAACUGGAGCGCUGGAGUGCCGGAGGGGUAGGCGGAAUUCCUAGUGUAGCGGUGAAAUGCGUAGAUAUUAGGAGGAACACCAGUGGCGAAGGCGGCCUACUGGACGGUGACUGACGCUGAGGCUCGAAAGCGUGGGGAGCAAACAGGAUUAGAUACCCGGGUAGUC
rnacentral:rRNA from 1 species